UGACCUAUGUGGACUUGUGGUAGAAUAGAAACCUUAAUGUUUAUCUUACAGGCUUUUGACGAAAUAUCAUUUUAAAAGCACCACCACACGCAAGCGGACCUAAAAACCGAGGAGAACUUUUACGUUGCGACUUGACAAACAAGAACGUGUCGAGAUCCGUAGCGCUAAGCGUGCGCGUGGCUGUUGCUCUGCAUCUCACGCUCAUUGACGAAACAUUUAAACAUAUAAAUGAUUACGUUUCCAGCGCGCUACAGACACAGUGAGAAGAUGGACAGCUUAUCAUACAUCUUACAGCCAGAGUUCAGCUCUGAGAUACCCAACACGCCGCUCAACAAACUCAGCGCGCGGGCACGAGAAGACGGUUUCAAGCUCCCCUCUCUGUGAAUUGAUUCUACUAUGAGCCUACCCGAAUCGGUGCGAGAAAGAGAUCUGUGCUUCCCGUGCCCACAGUUGGUGCAACAUGACAUAAGAUUUCAAUGACCUGUAACGUGUGGCAGGAGAUGUCAACGUGGUCUGUAUUAACUCCUUACGUCUCCGACUCUAUCUGUCCAGCAUCACUAGUCAGCAACCGUCAUCCCUUCCUACUCCAGCUCGUAAUCGAGAUCAUAUGUUUAACUGGUGCUGAAACCCAACACGAGACCUCCACAUCAAAUAAAAUCUGCUGCCAGGAGAGGGGCCUGCAAGAUCUUUCCCCCUUCAGGAGAAUGAAAAAAAGGCCUAGAACAUAGACCGUAAAAGUGCGGAGGGCCCCAUGUCCCCUCCAAAAAAACAUGUGAUCAAGCUGGGAUGAGUUCACUUUUGGACGUUUUACGUUUUUUUUAGGGAUCGUGUACUGUAAUAUGUCUUUAAUAUGUUCAUGGUGUACAGACAGAAAAAAACUGAGCCUGUUUUAACCCAAACCUUUACUAGCACCUUAUUUUUAUGUUUCUUCUCACAGCUGCCUUUUGUUGGACUUAUUGGGUGAUUUCUUUUGCAUAUUUUGCAUACUUUUUAUUUUAAGCCUUAUUUUGCAUAAUUUUCCUAUACUAAAAUGUUUCUGUAAAGCUGCUUGGCAACAAUGCAAACUGGGCGAAGUGCUAUAGAAAUACAUUUAAAGGGACACUCCACUUUUUUUGAAAAUUGGCUCAUUUUCCAGCUCCCCUAGAGUUAAACACUUGAUUUUUACAGUUUCGGAAUCCAUUCAGCCAAUCUCCGGGUCUGGCGGUACCACUUUUAGCAUAGCUUAGCAUAAUCCAUUGAAUCUGAUUAGACCAUUAGCAUCGCGCUCAAAAAUAACUUUAGAGUUUUAAUAUUUUUCCUGUUUAAAAUUUGACUCUUCUGUAGUUACAUCGUGUAAAAGUGGAGUGUCCCUUUAAGUGAGUGAAUUUAGUGCGACUAUUGAUACAAAAAUUAAUCCGACUAUUUUGCAUUGAAUACAACAUAUUUCUUCAUGUUUUCUUACCAAUCUCUACAAAGACGUCAGGUGCUUAUAUUUUUUACCGCAUAGGACAAGCACAAGCUUAUAAUUGUCCAUUCGAAAAUUGACAUAGAUGUAAUUUUCAAUAGAACCAAUUGAAAAGAAUUCACGCAAAGGGAUGAGAAUGAAUCAAGUGCAUCUAAUCCCAUCAGCCUCAGCAAAGA